UUCCAGCCUGCGUCCUCGUCAUCUCGUGGCUUUCUACCGGGGGAACAGAAGGGUCACCGCGUACUAAUACUAAAGGCCAUCACGUCAAGACACCAGUAAUAAACAGUUUUGCAGAUGAUGAGGCGCAGAAUGGCAAGCCAGCAACGCUAUGCGUGAAAUUGGGUGGCCGGCUAGUCCUUUGUGCCUUGGAGUGAUUUCCUGGCGAAAGCAGUCCUGGUUGACCCACCAUCACCACCACCACCACCACCACCACCACCACCACCACCACCACCACCACCACCAGCGCGACUCCAGCUCCCAAAAAUAUUCAAGGAUGACAUGCACAUAUUAUAUCCUGCACUUUAUUUUCUUUGUUAUUUCUGUUGGUUGUUAAUUUUUAUUACUUCUUUUCAUUCUCACACCUUAGAUUUCCUUCGAUUUAACUAUUUUCUUAUUGUUUCGUAACAUUUUCAUUUACUCAUCGUAUUCCACAUUAUCUGUUUAACUUUUGUUUUUAUUUACAAUCUUCAUCUCUUCUUACAUGCCCUCUACUCUAACCUCUUUCUCUUACUUUCGGUUCAUUCAUGUAGCCUUUUCAUUCUUAUUUCACCUCUCUUUUCUUUCUUCGUGUUCCUUCCUCCUUCCAGUAAACCAGUCGGCCUCAUCGUUUCAUUUGCUCUUAGGUUUCUUUUUUCUUUUUAUUGUUUCAUCGCAGUUCAGAACUUUUACUACCCUCCCCGCCCCUUUCUCUCUCUCUCUCUCUCUCUCUCUCUCUCUCUCUCUCUCUCUCUCUCUCUCUCUCUCUCUCUCUCUCUCUCUCUCUCUCUCUGGUGUCUCAUCCAUGUCACCGUGAAAGAUUAAUAGGCAGAUCCUUCAAACGGGCAAACUUUAACAAAUCAAUGAUCAAGGAAUUUUGUAGUGGUUUAGAAAGGUACGAAUUUUUGUUUUGUUUUGUUAUGGAGUAAAGU